rnacentral:snRNA from 1 species
UCAUUGUUUUCUUUUGCAUAU